UACAGAGGGGGCAAGCGUUAUUCGGAAUUAUUGGGCGUAAAGGGCGCGUAGGCGGCCUGGCAAGUGGAAGGUGAAAUCCCUCGGCUUAACCGAGGAACUGCCCUCCAAACUGCUUGGCUUGAGUCCGGGAGAGGUGAGUGGAAUUCCCAGUGUAGCGGUGAAAUGCGUAGAUAUGACACAGAACACCGAUUGCGAAGGCAGCUCACUAAACUGUAACUGACGCUGAGGCACGAAAGCGUGGGGAGCAAACAGG
rnacentral:rRNA from 1 species